ensembl:snRNA U2 U2 spliceosomal RNA
GUUGUUUUUUUGAUUUUUGGUCCAAUAUCAUGAAUAGUAUGUGUUCUUGUCAUUUAAUGUUUCGUAAAUCCUCCACCUGAGGAUAAUUUAUGAAGUGGAUUUUUGGAACAGGGAGGUUGAAUAGAGGCAGGCUCCGUCCAUUCCACAGACCAGUCUGGUAUCACAGUACCUCCAUGAAUGGUAUGGGUCUC